rnacentral:lncRNA from 1 species
GGCUCCGAAACAUGUGUGAGCAUGAGAGCAUCUGCGGAUCCAGGACCGCGCCAUGUGACUCCUGUGGGCGAUCGGUUAUGCUGAAGGAGAUGGACAUUCACCAUAUCGCUGUUCAUCAGAAGAGCUGAUCACCCAGAGGCACAGACCUGAGCUGAGCUUGCUGAUUGCCCAAAACUUAGAAAUUGUUGUUAUCAAAUUUCUGUCCACCGAAUCACGGUUCAUCAGAAGAACUGAUCACCCAGUGGCACAGGGCUGACCUGAGCUAAGCCUGCUGAUUGCCCAAAACUACGAAAUCUGUUGGAUCAAACAAGACCCCUUGGGACUGCAAAUACGCAAUGUGUUACUGGUUUGUU